UACGGAGGGGGCUAGCGUUGUUCGGAAUUACUGGGCGUAAAGCGCACGUAGGCGGCUUUGUAAGUUAGAGGUGAAAGCCCAGAGCUCAACUCUGGAACUGCCUUUAAGACUGCAUCGCUUGAAUCAUGGAGAGGUCAGUGGAAUUCCGAGUGUAGAGGUGAAAUUCGUAGAUAUUCGGAAGAACACCAGUGGCGAAGGCGGCUCACUGGCCCGGUACUGACGCUGAGGUGCGAAAGCGUGGGGAGCAAACAGG
rnacentral:rRNA from 1 species